GAUGAACGCUGGCGGCGUGCUUAACACAUGCAAGUCGAACGGAGUGGCGAACGGGUGAGUAACACGUGGGUGAUCUGCCCUGUACUUCGGGAUAAGCUUGGGAAACUGGGUCUAAUACCGGAUAGUAUGGGAUGAGCUGGCGGCCUAUCAGCUUGUUGGUGGGGGAGUGGCCUACCAAGGCGUCGGCGGGUAGCCGGCCUGAGAGGGUGUACGGCCACAUGGGGACGGAGGUACGGCCCAGACUCGUACGGGAGGCAGCAGGGGGGAAUAUUGCGCAAUGAGGGCAAGCCUGAUGCAGCGUCGCCGCGUGGGGGAUGAAGGCCUUCGGGUUGUAAACUCCUUGCGCGAGGGACGCGGUACCUGGAGAAGAAGCACCGGCUAACUACGUGCCAGCAGCCGCGGUAAUAC
rnacentral:rRNA from 1 species